rnacentral:rRNA from 1 species
AGAGUUUGAUCCUGGCUCAGGAUGAACGCUGGCGGCGUGCCUAAUACAUGCAAGUCGAGCGAACGGACGAGAAGCUUGCUUCUCUGAUGUUAGCGGCGGACGGGUGAGUAACACGUGGAUAACCUACCUAUAAGACUGGGAUAACUUCGGGAAACCGGAGCUAAUACCGGAUAAUAUUUUGAACCGCAUGGUUCAAAAGUGAAAGACGGUCUUGCUGUCACUUAUAGAUGGAUCCGCGCUGCAUUAGCUAGUUGGUAAGGUAACGGCUUACCAAGGCAACGAUGCAUAGCCGACCUGAGAGGGUGAUCGGCCACACUGGAACUGAGACACGGUCCAGACUCCUACGGGAGGCAGCAGUAGGGAAUCUUCCGCAAUGGGCGAAAGCCUGACGGAGCAACGCCGCGUGAGUGAUGAAGGUCUUCGGAUCGUAAAACUCUGUUAUUAGGGAAGAACAUAUGUGUAAGUAACUGUGCACAUCUUGACGGUACCUAAUCAGAAAGCCACGGCUAACUACGUGCCAGCAGCCGCGGUAAUACGUAGGUGGCAAGCGUUAUCCGGAAUUAUUGGGCGUAAAGCGCGCGUAGGCGGUUUUUUAAGUCUGAUGUGAAAGCCCACGGCUCAACCGUGGAGGGUCAUUGGAAACUGGAAAACUUGAGUGCAGAAGAGGAAAGUGGAAUUCCAUGUGUAGCGGUGAAAUGCGCAGAGAUAUGGAGGAACACCAGUGGCGAAGGCGACUUUCUGGUCUGUAACUGACGCUGAUGUGCGAAAGCGUGGGGAUCAAACAGGAUUAGAUACCCUGGUAGUCCACGCCGUAAACGAUGAGUGCUAAGUGUUAGGGGGUUUCCGCCCCUUAGUGCUGCAGCUAACGCAUUAAGCACUCCGCCUGGGGAGUACGACCGCAAGGUUGAAACUCAAAGGAAUUGACGGGGGCCCGCACAAGCGGUGGAGCAUGUGGUUUAAUUCGAAGCAACGCGAAGAACCUUA